CGGGUUGUGCACUUGUGGUGGCCUCUACUGCUUUGCAAAGCCAUUGCCAUGGGUUGAACCCUACCACACACACAAGUGUAAGUCCGUUAUCACUCGCCUUGGGUCAUACUAGAAGCACCCAAGACUAGGACCUCGUACUCUCACCACAUGACUAAUUCUUCUCUAAGUGAGAUUGAAAGAGUCAUUAGAGUGUUAGGAUAACCCCCAAGACUGAGCUACCUAUAUUCAUUCUAAAACACUAGAAUCUCACCGAGAGAUUUUAUAAUUAAACCACCAUAAGCAACCUUGAAAUCAUACUUCUUUACUUUUGAACUCCCAUACUUUGGAUCAUGAUCAACAUAAUUUGUAGCGAUGAACAAAAAUACGGUAGUCAUAACAUAAUUUACAUUCAGUCAUAUUAAUUUAUAAUACUUCACCUAAUGCAAUCCAACGCAUAUCUCAUUCUUUAUUUCAAACAACUAACUAAUCAAACUUAAUAUAUUUUACAACCCAAAGAAUUAAUCAAACUAAACAUCCAUUCCAAAUUUCCAAUUUACUCUUCUGAAAAACACCUUAUUAUACUAAAAUGACAAAGUGUUUUAGUGCAUAAUUUUAACUCAAACAUCAAGCAUUGGAUGCAGUAUUGUAAUUAAAAAAAAACAAAUAGCAAACAGUAAU
rnacentral:lncRNA from 1 species